rnacentral:lncRNA from 1 species
GACUGUGAAACCUUUACCCCUUAUUUUUCGGUACUUUGUUCUUACAAGGUACAUGUACUUAUCUUACUUAUAUAUAUUAUUGAUCAGAUGGGACAUUAGAUUGGACUUGAGAUAAAAUUUAUGAUUUAGUUCUUCCUUUAGUAGUUUGCGUCUACUGUCUACUACAGUUGGAUAGUGUCGGAUCACCAGUUACCUUGCAAAUCAUGUCCUUGUUUGUUACUACCAUUUACUGGUAGUUAAAAAAAAAUAUUAAUUAUCUUUUUGAUUUUCGCAUUAUAACCAACUCACAAAAUUGAUCAUAUCCUUUUAAAAUCGAACAAAGCAGUUCAUAUACACUACCAUUUUUUUUUUACACUUUUGAUCCUUAUCCCAUUUUAGCUUCCAAAAAAGCUGAUGUGUCGUAUUUUUUUAUGAGGUGUCCAAAAAAGUACUUAGGUGGCAAAUCACAAGUGGAAAAACACUUGUACACACGUCAGCAAAUCAUAUUUUAUUAAUUAAAAAAACACAUUUAUAUAAGUUAACAAUUAAAAAAUAAAUCAAAAAUUAAAAAUAAAUACACUACUCAUAUUCCUCUCUUCAUCCUUGGCAGCAAACUCUCUGAACCCCUGGAAAAAUUAACAACAACAUUCGUGUUCAUCUCUUCUUCCUUAGCACAAAAAGGUAACAACAUCACAAAUUUCUCCCAUCAUCAACCUAGGGAUAAAACUCAUACUUAAAAAACCAUCACACACCAACACAUCUCUCUUCUCUCACAUCUAUCCCAAAUCAAAACAAACCAAAAUCUGAAAUUUGAAUCCGAAUCCGAAUCUGAAAUUCGAAUCCAACUCCAAGAGGUUCAUGGUAUCAUAAACCCAAAUUCAAAUCUGAAAUCAUUGUUUUUGAUUUAUGAGAAAAUGGGUGGCAUCAACCCAAAUCCAAAAAUCCAUAUUCACUCAAAGGACAAGAACAGAUUCGCUGUAAAAAGAUCUUUGUAGAAGAUGAAGAUGAAGUGUUGUUCUUCUUUGUGUCUUCAAAGGACAGGAACAAAUCUUUGUUUUUUGUAAAGUUUUAAUUUUUUUGUUUGUGUGUAAAGUUUGAAUCUUUGUUUGUUAUAGAGUUGAGAUCUGGACAUAUAAAGGGAUAAAGAUCUUGUCUGAUGAGAUUGUAACGAAACAAAAUCUAGUUCAGGAGAAGAGAAAUGGAAUUGGGGAUUUUGAGAAACUAGGGUUUCUAUUAAGUUUCCUCCUUGUAUAUUUUUAAUUUUUAAUUUGUUAUUAUUUGUUAAAAUGUUUUUUCAUAAUAAUAUAAUUAAUUUCUUCAAUUUUAUAAAUGAUAUUAUCCACAUAUGCAGUGCCACAUAGGUGUUUUAUUUGCCACAUCAGUUAAAAAUAUGACAUGUGCGUUUUUGGAGGAUAAAAUGGGGGUAGGACGAAAAGUGCAACAAAAAUGAUAAUUGAAAGACAUGACAGUUUUGUUCUGAUUUAAAAGGGCAGGUUAAAAC